GACGGAGGAUGCAAGUGUUAUCCGGAAUCACUGGGCGUAAAGCGUCUGUAGGUGGUUUAAAAAGUCCAAUGUUAAAAAUUGAGGCUUAACUUCAAAGGUGCCUUGGAAACUUUUAAACUGGAGGAUGGUAGGGGUAGAGGGAAUUUCCAGUGGAGCGGUGAAAUGCGUAGAUAUUGGAAAGACCACCAAUGGCGAAGGCACUCUACUGGGCCACAACUGACACUGAGAGACGAAAGCUAGGGGAGCAAAUGGG
rnacentral:rRNA from 1 species